GUGACUUCUCGGGUGGAGGGACUGAGAAUAAGGACAUGAAGGUUGGGAAGAAAUGCAUUUGGCAGUUCAUGAGGAAUACAUUCAAAUCCAGGCAAGACGGCACUUAGGAAAACUGAUUCUGAUCAUUCCAAAGAGCCAUUUGUGUGAAACCAC